rnacentral:rRNA from 1 species
UACGGGGGGGGCAAGCGUUGUUCGGAAUUACUGGGCGUAAAGGGCUGGUAGGCGGCCAACUAAGUCGGAUGUGAAAUCCCCAGGCUUAACCUGGGAACUGCAUCCGAUACUGGUCGGCUUGAAUCCGGGAGAGGGAUGCAGAAUUCCAGGUGUAGCGGUGAAAUGCGUAGAUAUCUGGAGGAAUACCGGUGGCGAAGGCGGCAUCCUGGACCGGCAUUGACGCUGAACAGCGAAAGCUAGGGGAGCGAACGGG